AUUGAACGCUGGCGGCGUGCUUAACACAUGCAAGUCGUGCGGUAACAGGCGUAGCAAUACGUGCUGACGAGCGGCGAACGGGUGCGUAAUACAUGGGAAUCUGCCUUUUAGUGGGGAAUAACCCGGCGAAAGCCGGGCUAAUGCCGCAUAAGAUCUUCGGAUGAAAGCGGGGGAUCGUAAGACCUCGCGCUGAUAGAUGAGCCCAUGCCGGAUUAGCUAGNGGUGAGGUAACGGCUCACCAAGGCGACGAUCCGUAGCUGGUCUGAGAGGACGGCCAGCCACACUGGGACUGAGACACGGCCCAGACUCCUACGGGAGGCAGCAGUGGGGAAUAUUGGACAAUGGGGGAAACCCUGAUCCAGCGACGCCGCGUGUGUGAAGAAGGCCUGCGGGUUGUAAAGCACUUUCGGUAGGGAACG
rnacentral:rRNA from 1 species